rnacentral:lncRNA from 1 species
UUUAGAGUUAAAUCUAAUGCACAACUUUUCCAACCAGAGACCAGUUUUUUAAAGUGCCUAUUAAAAAAAAACUUGGAGGGAAAUUAGAAGAGGCUUGAUAGAGUGAACUCAAGAAGUGGCAAAAGUGGUAAAAGGUGAGUUAGAAGAGAAAGGAACUAGAUCAUGUAAAACUGUAAGAGAGGGGUAUAUUUGGAUUUUUUUUUUUUUUCUAAUUGCCAUAGGAAGCCACUAAAGAGAAUUGAGCAUGGGAGUGAUGAAAUGGUGUAUGGUGAACAGGUUGUAAGAGUACAAAAAUGAAAGAAUGAAUGAGCUAUUGUAGUCUAGGACUGUUAAAUCUUGAGGAACAGAAAAAGUAGUAUCUGUAUUUUUUAAAAAAUACUUCAUAGUUGUCAAUGGGCCUUUAUUUUAUUUAUUUAUAUGUGGUACUGAGAAUUGAACUCUGUGCCUCACACAUGCUAGGCAAGUGCUUUACCACUGAGCCACAACCCCAGCCUGCAGCAUCUGUAUUUUAAGGCUAACUACUAAAGAGUGAAACAAUUUAAAGUAAUGGAUUAGCCAGGUGUUGAUCAGCUUUAAAGAAUGUAAAAUCCUCCUCAAGAUGGUUUAAUUUUUUUAAAAAUGUGUUUUAAACACCAGAAAUUUAAAUUUUGCAUGUAAUGUAUUUUAUCCUGGCUUUGUUUUAGAAAAUGUGUGUAAAAUCAUAGCCUCUAACACUAGCAGGCCUAAAAUUGUGGGUCCUUUAAUCAGAAACUACAUUUUUUAAGAAAAGCAUUAAGUAAUGAGGUAGUCAUACUAUGAGUCGAGCUGGUAAAAAAUAUUUUUAAGGGCCUGUCAUUGUACAUAUAAUCUCAUAACCCUAUUGUUUUUUAAGAAGUGAGCUAAAGCUUGGAGAGGUUCAGAACAAAAUUUGCCUAAAAUAGUGAUGAGGAUGAGGAUUGUAGCUUUUGAGAAAACAAAUAUGAAAGACAUUUCAUUGAAAGGUGACAGUGGUGUUUCAAAACAGGCACAAAUUACAUGUAAACAGAGAAGACCUUAUAUAGCAGUCAAUGAAUAUUAGCAUCUAAUAUGUGCCAGAAACUGCCUUCCUUGGUGCUGGUUGGCAAUACAGCAGGUACAAUGUACCCUUAGGAAACUUUUUUAGGGAGAGGUAACAAGUUUUUAAGUAAUUUCAGUCCUGAUUAGUCCUGGGCAGAAUAUAACUCAUCUAAUUCUAACCGUAAUCCUAUGAGGAAAAGGUUAACUCAGGUACAACAGUUGGGUUAGCAACUUACACCAGACUACAUGGCUACUGCAUGGUACUACUUGAGCCUAUGAGAGUGACUCAAGUUGGGCCUGUUCUACCCAGGAUGGUAAUAAAAAAAGGUAUAUUUGCAACCUGAAGAGAAGGCAACUUUGAUGAAAUUUGGAGAAAACAUUCCAAGUGGGAGAACAAAUAGUAGAGGCCCUGUGUUUGGAAGGAGGUUGAUGUAUUCCAGGACAAUAAGGCCAUUCUAGCCCUAUGAUUAAUACAAAUAUCAAGAGGAGGUAGACCUAAACCAAGGGUGGCCUUGUUUGGAUUUAACUCAUGAUGGGAUCAUAAAGUUCUGAACAGGGAAUUGAUGUUGAUCUGAAUUAGGAAGAGGUGAAGAUGACAGUGACUUGAAUAGUGUAGGAAUGAGGACAGUGAUAAGCUGUCAGCUAAUAUAAUAGAAUUUGGAGAUAUAACCUACAAGGGUUGCUUAUGGAUUGGAAGUUGAAUAUGUGGGAGAGGGAAGACUUGAAGACUCCUGGGAUAAUGAUGGAACUUGGAUGGAAGAUGGUAUUUGGUAUGCCGAGAUGGGGAAGAAGCAGAAGUGGAUUGUGAAAGAAAAUCAGUUUUGUUCUAGUCAUGUUGCAUAUCCAAGAAGUGGUGUUAUAUGAUUAAAUGUGUAAUUCUGGAGUUCUUAGGAAAGCUCUGUGCUGUCAAUGGCAGCCUUUGAUUAUAGAUUUUUGCAGCUUUUGAGUUAGAUAAGAUCACCUAGGAGAGUGUACAGAAGGUAAGAGGCUGAAAACAGUUCUCAAAUACUCCCAGAAGCGCAAGAUUAUGAUAUAGGAGAAAUGUGCAAAGGAUACAGGGAGACAAAAUAUGGCAAGUAUUGGAAAGCUUAAAUUUCACUUGAGUUUGUAAGAAGGAAAGAAGGAGUUGUGCUAAAUGCUGCUAGAGGUCAAAGUAGCAAAUGAAUUAUAGUGGGCUGCUAUUACAAAUAAAUCCUAAAUUGUCAAAGGGUUCAGAUAGCAUACUUUUUCUCUUCUCAUAUAUAAAGUAUUAGGAGAAUGGUGGUGAAGAGGCCAAUGUGCCCGGCUGUAUCUCACUUAGUCAUUUAAGAACACAAGUAAAUGAAGGCUCCAAUACAGGGUGGCUUCGAGAUCACAUUGGAGUUAUCGCCAUUAAAGCCAGAUAACAGGGAAAAAGAACACAGAGGGUCUUAAUUGGGAGAUUAUUAUGAACCAGAACUGGGAAUGGUAAACAUCUCAUAUUCCAAUGACUGGAAUUCAGUCACAUAGCUAUUGCUUCCUUGGAGGCAGUAAUAAACCAUACAUACAGGGAAAAAGAACCAACUUAUUGUGAGUAGCAAAUAAUUGCUGCUGCCACAGAUGAUUUGGCAAGAACUUUUAAGAACUAUCUUAGUAAUGAAGGCCAAGAGAAGACCGGAGGGUAAGAAAUGAAACAAAUGAAUGCAGAUCUUUUCUGUAGUUUUACUACAGAAUGGCUUAGAGGCCAGAGGAAACUUAAAAGUUAAGGGAGGGUUAUAAGAGGUAUAUUACCAAUACAAACAAUGCAUAAUAUUAUAAUUUUGAGAAAUUGAUUCCCAUUUUCACAUAGAUAUGUUGGUGACUGACAGAUCGAGAUAUUUAUAUUGAACUUUGUAACAAUAAGUGAUAUACUUUAAGUUUCCAAAUCUAGUUUUUCUUAAAUCACUUUUUAAAAAAUACUUUUGUCAAUAGACCUUUAUUUUAUUUAUUUAUAUGUGGUGCUGAGAAUUUAACCUAGUGUCUCACACAUGCUAGGCUGAGCCACAACCCCAGCCCACUGAGGUAACUAAAUUACUAGGUUAGGAACAGUUUUAACUCUUCUAUGGCAUGUGUCUUUCUAUCAGAGAACCUUAAAACUUCAAUCUUAGUCUUCUUUCUUUCAUGCUGAGGACUGAACUCAGAAACUUGGGCAUGCUAAAUAUAUGUCCUACUCAGCUACACCCGUAGCCCCCAUUUUCUUAAUAGAAUGGCAGAAUACAUCAUAGUUGCAUCCUUUAUAAUGUAUUGAUUAUGAAGAACCUUACUUAUAGUCUGAAGAUGUUAUGACCCUUUAACUCACUUGAUGACUCAAGGUGAUAUCCAAAGCUCAUAAUAAAUCAGGAUAGAAACUAAUCACAGAAUCUUUUUCUUUUUUUGGUAAGGUGGGAAUAGUGAGGCCAAAAAAAAAAAAGACCCAAGCACAUUGUUUUUGAAUGCAAAGAUUUGUAGGGAAUGAUUAUUGUGAAGUUAUAUGAUAGAAAUAACUGCUAAUAGGAAGAGUGACUCUGCUGUAAGCUAGAAUAUAUAAAAAGGUAUUUCUAGGGAUGGUAUGUAUUUCUUAGAUCCCUUAUCUUGAUUUUUUUAGUGAGUUACAAUUUACAUAAUGUUCACCUUUUAUAAGUGUAUAUAUAAUUCAGUGAUUUUAGUAUAUUUCACAAAGUUGUAUAACCAUCACCAUGAAUGCUUAGAAAGUUUUCAUCACCCAAAUUCAUCACCUACACCCAUUAGUAGUCAUUCCCCAUUCCCAUCUAUUCCCACCCAGUGGUAACUACUAAUCUGCUACUGUGGAUUUGCCUAUGGUGGACACUUUAUAUAAAUGGAAUUGUAUAAUAAGUGGCAUUUUGGGUGUAGCUUCUUUCACUUAGCAUAUCGUAUGUGUUGUAGCACGUAUCCGUGUUUCUUUUACUAGUUGAAUAGUAUUCCAUUGAAUGGCUAUAUCAAGAUUCGGGUUGAGGAUUGAAUUUUAGGCUUUGUACAUGCUAAACAUGUGUUCAUGUAAAUGAGCUGAGCUCAUAUACCCACAGCCCUAUCAGAUUUUAUUUAUUCCUCUGCUAAUCUGAGUCAUUUUUACUUUGGGGUUGUAAUGAAUAAUAUAACUAUGAAUAUUUAUGUAUAAUUUUUAAAAUUAUAUAUUUUCAUUUCUCUUAGGUAUAUACCCAGAAGUGGAAUUGCUAGAUUUUACGUCCAGUGUUCUGUUUUCACCUUGUUUUCAUGGCGAUCUCUGAAGCACUUCUCUCAAUGUCCAUCUCAUACUCCCAAAGUUCUCUUUGGAUUUUUAGAACAUUUUUACUUCCUUUGGUGAUUAAACUGCCCCUCCUAACCUCUUCUGCUAGAGUGACAGUUGGGUAGUUUAUGUUAAUGUCUUUUCAUACUUUAACCAAGUUCCUGCUCAACUUCUUGUUACCCGAAGAAAGGGCCAAACACAUUUCAUCCUUUAUUUUGUUGUUGGUGGUGUUUUUUUUUUUUGGUUCCAGGAUCAAACCCAGAGCCUGUGCAUGUUAGCCAAAUACUUUGCCAGAGUUCUAUCCCCAGUCCCAACCCUUUAGAACUGAUCCUCAUCUUGUACCAUUUACAAGACUGAAUUAAUAAACUGCUUUCUCUGUAAUAAUUUCCUAUUUUGCUCCUUUAUUAAACAUAAUCUUCAUGCCUAUGAUGAUCUCCAGUCUCUCACUGCCUUUCUAUUUUCAGUUUGUUAGCUAAUUGCUGUUAUAAUUUAAUCUUCU